UACAGAGGGUGCAAGCGUUGUUCGGAAUUAUUGGGCGCAAAGCGCGUGUAGGCGGUGGUUCAAGUCGGGUGUGAAAGCCCUCAGCUCAACUGAGGAAGUGCGCCCGAAACUGAAUCGCUAGAGUGUCGGAGGGGAAGGCGGAAUUCCCGGUGUAGAGGUGAAAUUCGUAGAUAUCGGGAGGAACACCAGUGGCGAAGGCGGCCUUCUGGACGAACACUGACGCUGAGACGCGAAAGCGUGGGUAGCAAACAGG
rnacentral:rRNA from 1 species